rnacentral:rRNA from 1 species
UACGUAGGGUGCGAGCGUUGUCCGGAAUUACUGGGCGUAAAGAGCUCGUAGGUGGUUUGUCGCGUUGUUCGUGAAAACUCACAACUCAAUUGUGGGCGUGCGGGCGAUACGGGCAGACUGGAGUACUGCAGGGGAGACUGGAAUUCCUGGUGUAGCGGUGGAAUGCGCAGAUAUCAGGAGGAACACCGGUGGCGAAGGCGGGUCUCUGGCCCGAUACUGACGCUGAGGCACGAAAGCGUGGGGAGCAAACAGG